rnacentral:snRNA from 1 species
AGAUGUGGGGUGGUCUGGAUGUGAAACCCAUAACCUCAUUGAUGACCAGGGUGUAUUUGUCUGAUCUGGCUGGCUGGAUGGGUAUCCCCUUCUUUCCUCACUGCUUUAUGAGUCCCUCCCAGAGCUAUGCACUUGGUCAAAAAGAAUAAAUUCCCUCAUGGAGAUGCACAUUCCUCAUCCAAUGGCUUGGAACCUCCAAGCAAGUUCUGUAAUUCUGUGAGAUAAAUCUUUAUGGAAUAGAUGGAAGAGUUGAAAUUCCUCCUCAGAAAACUGAUUUGUUGCAGUUGCUUCCUGAAUUAGU